rnacentral:tRNA from 1 species
GGUCUCGUGGCCUAAUGGAUAAGGCGUUGGUGUUCGGAACCCAAGAUUGUGAGUUCGAGUCUCACCGAGAUCG